AGUGAACGCUGGCGGUAGGCUUAACACAUGCAAGUCGAGCGGCAGCACAGGAAGAGUUUGCUUUUACGUGUGGCCAGUCGCGCACGUGUGAGAAGUACAUCGAACUCUCCUUAUACAUGGGGAAAAACGGUGGGAAACUGGCGCUAUUAUGCGAUAGGUCACACGGUUGCAUGCAGGGGAGAGUAGGACCAUUCGCUAUUGAAUGAGCCGAUGUCGGAUUAGCUAGUUGGCGGGGUAAAGGCCCACCAAGGCAACGAUCCGUAGCUGGUCUGAGAGGAUGAUCAGCCACACUGGAACUGAGACACGGUCCAGACUCCUACGGGAGGCAGCAGUGGGGAAUAUUGGACAAUGGGCGCAAGCCUGAUCCAGCCAUACCGCGUGGGUGAAGAAGGCCUUCGGGUUGUAAAGCCCUUUUGUUGGGAAAGAAAAGCAGCAGGUUAAUACCCCGCUGUUCUGACGGUACCCAAAGAAUAAGCACCGGCUAACUUCGUG
rnacentral:rRNA from 1 species